UACGUAGGGUGCGAGCGUUGUCCGGAUUUAUUGGGCGUAAAGGGCUCGUAGGCGGCCUGUCGCGUCGGGGAGUGAAAGCCCACUGCUUAACGGUGGGUCUGCUUCCGGUACGGGCGGGCUGGAGUAUGGCAGGGGAGGACUGGAAUUCCUGGUGUAGCGGUGGAAUGCGCAGAUAUCGGGGAAGAACACCCGUGGCGAAGGCGGCUCUCUGGGACGGUACUGACGCUGAGACGGCGGAAAGCGUGGGGAGCGAACAGG
rnacentral:rRNA from 1 species